CCACUGUGUCUUUGAGCACGUGUCUAUGUUGUGUCAGAUAUAAACUAGAUCAGUGGCAAGAGCCACUCAGUCUAGGGUUCCUGGCAGAGAACUGGAGGAGAUGGUCGCUACACUUCCAGUGUUCUUGGCAGGAAGUGACAUUGCCGGAAAACUGAACUGCAGAACAGCAAUUUAAGCAAUGGACAGUAAAGUUGUCAAGAGCAGCAAUUCCAGUCAAUACAUGCACGAUGUUGAUCAAAGGAAUUUAUCUGGAACAGGAGGAGGUAUUAUAUAAAUAGUAUUGAAUACAGUCUAAAUUGCUGGUUGGAAUUGGAGACUGAUCUAUAAAUAGACUUGUAGAGCAUCCAUCGGUAGCGCAGGUCCUCCAGGUCUUCAGAGUUCCCGACAACUGGAUGAAGAUGAAGAAGAUCUUCAAAAAGAUGCUGACCUUCAGGAACACGAGACUGAAGCUCCUGCAGGGAAAGAAAAGUUAAUCAACAACCCUGCAUUCAAAUGAAUCAUUGCCUUACUCAUCUCAGAGACUUAUUCAUGUAGAAGCACACUAGCAUUAAAUUAAUCUGUUAUGAACACUGGG